rnacentral:rRNA from 1 species
UGAAUACGAGACGCUAAGGCGUCGAAGUAGUGUAUGUCAUACUUCCAAGAAAAGCUUGCACUGUCAUAGAUAAAAAACGCCUGUACCAUAACCGACACAGGUGGGUAGGUAGAGUAUACUAAGGGGCGCGAGAUAACUCUCUCUAAGGAACUCGGCAAAAUAACUCCGUAACUUCGGGAGAAGGAGUGCCUUAUUCGUAAGGUUGCAAUAACAAGAUCCAAGCAACUGUUUAUCAAAAACACAGGUCUCCGCUAAGUCGUAAGACGAUGUAUGGGGGCUGACGCCUGGCCAGUGCCAGAAGGUUAAAGAAGUUGGUUAGCAAUUGCGAAGCUGAUAACUGAAGCCCUGGUGAACGGCGGCCGUAACUAUAACGGUCCUAAGGUAGCGAAAUUCCUUGUCGGGUAAGUUCCGACCCGCACGAAAGGCGUAAUGAUUUGGAUACUGUCUCGGAGAGGGGCUCGGUGAAAUAGACUUGUCUGUGAAGAUGCGGACUACCUGCACCAGGACAGAAAGACCCUAUGAAGCUUUACUGUAACUUGAAAUUGAAAUUGGACUUUAUUCGCGCAGUAUAGGUGGGAGGCGUUGAUUAUAAUCUUGUGGGAUUAUUGGAGCCAUCAGUGAGAUACCACUCUUGUAAUGUUAGAUUUCUAACUUUGAAUCAUUAUCUGGUCAAAGAACAGUUUCAGGCGGGCAGUUUGACUGGGGCGGUCGCCUCCUAAACGGUAACGGAGGCGUACAAAGGUUUCCUCUGAACGGUUAGAAAUCGUAUCUAGAGUGUAAAGGCAUAAGGAAGCUUGACUGUAGACCUACAAGUCGAGCAGGGACGAAAGUCGGUCUUAGUGAUCUGACGGUACUGAGUGGAAAGGCCGUCACUCAACGGAUAAAAGUUACUCUAGGAUAACAGGCUGAUCUCCCCCAAGAGUUCACAUCGACGGGGAGGUUUGGCACCUCGAUGUCGGCUCAUCGCAUCCUGGGGCGGUAGUACGUCCCAAGGGUUGGGCUGUUCGCCCAUGAAAGCGGUACGCGAGCUGGGUUCAGAACGUCGUGAGACAGUUCGGUCCAUAUCCGGUGUAGGCGUUAGAAUAUUGAGAGGAGCCUUCUUUAGUACGAGAGGACCGAGAAGGACAUACCUCUGGUGUACCAGUUAUCGUGCCAACGGUAAACGCUGGGUAGCUAUGUAUGGAGUGGAUAACCGCUGAAAGCAUCUAAGUGGGAGGCCCACCUCAAGAUAAGUAUUCUCAC